GACUGGAAGUGACUUCGUACAUUGCUGGACGCACAAAAAAGUCAUGUUGGGAUGUAUUUGUACAGCAUCAUCAUCUGUUAAAGGGGCUUGGUGAAGGUCCUGAUCUUAGUGAACUCACCAUUCAGAAUGUAGAACGUUUUUUCUGCAAACUGUAUGGAGCAAUGAAUGUUAACAACAACGACAUUCAAGUAAGCAUGUUUGUGAAGGGCAUGACAAUAGAAAGACUGCCACCAACCAGAGAUUCUCUCUACUUCCACAUUCAGCGUUCUCACUUCCAGGCUUUGGUCUGGCGGCAGGCCCACAUGCAGCAGCCAAUUUUGCCACCACCUGAGACCAUGGGAUGGAAAAUGGAGGAAAGUUCACUUGUUCCUCAACUCAUGUCACUACCUCCGGUUCCGGAUGCUUGUGAGGAGUUUCUCUCCUGUGGCUGCACCAAAGGAUGCAAGACAGCUAGAUGCAGUUGUAAGCCUAACCCAUGUACUGCUGCUAGCAAAUGCAGAAUGUCAUGUGAUACUUGUAUGAAUCAAUAAUAAGUAAAAAUAACAUUUCAGAAAACUGAGUUUUACGGUGAUAUCUAUGUUUAUCUAUUCAUACGGUGGUGUUUUGAAAGUGACUGAGAUGCAUAUUGUUUCAGUACAAAAUAUUAAGAACUGGUACCCUAAUGAAUAUGUUAUAUAUGUUAUAAAUUUAGAUU